rnacentral:pre_miRNA from 1 species
ACAGUAAGGGCCUGAUCCAAAGCCCAUUGAAGUGAAUGGGAGUCUUUCCAGUGACAUCAGUGGGCUUUGGCUCAGGCCCUGAGAAU